UACGUAGGUGGCAAGCGUUGUCCGGAUUUACUGGGUGUAAAGGGCGUGCAGCCGGGCUGACAAGUCAGAUGUGAAAUCCCGCGGCUCAACCGCGGAACUGCAUUUGAAACUGUCAGUCUUGAGUACCGGAGAGGUCAUCGGAAUUCCUUGUGUAGCGGUGAAAUGCGUAGAUAUAAGGAAGAACACCAGUGGCGAAGGCGGAUGAUUGGACGGCAACUGACGGUGAGGCGCGAAAGCGUGGGGAGCAAACAGG
rnacentral:rRNA from 1 species